rnacentral:lncRNA from 1 species
GUUAUGGGAUAUUCUACCUUGCUUAUACAUUGCCCUCUUGGUUGAUGAUAAAAAGGAGUAGAAAAGAACAUAUGAGCAUAUGAGCAAAAGGAUGUAUGAAAAGUGUAUAAUGAGCAUUGUUAGCAUGUAUGAUUGCCUGGAUAUUUAUAUCAUAUGUGUCUUAUGAUUGUAAUAGAAAAGAAUGUAUGAGCAAUGUUAGCAUGUAUGAAUGAGCAUAUGAGCAUUG